rnacentral:rRNA from 1 species
UUCUACUUCCUACGGGAGGCAGCAGUGGGGAAUAUUGGACAAGGGGCGAAAGCCUGAUCCAGCCAUGCCGAGUGUGUGAAGAAGGUCUUCGGAUUGUAAAGCACUUUAAGUUGGGAGGAAGGGUUGUAGAUUAAUACUCUGCAAUUUUGACGUUACCGACAGAAUAAGCACCGGCUAACUCUGUGCCAGCAGCCGCGGUAAUACAGAGGGUGCAAGCGUUAAUCGGAAUUACUGGGCGUAAAGCGCGCGUAGGUGGUUUGUUAAGUUGGAUGUGAAAUCCCCGGGCUCAACCUGGGAACUGCAUCCAAAACUGGCGAGCUAGAGUAUGGUAGAGGGUGGUGGAAUUUCCUGUGUAGCGGUGAAAUGCGUAGAUAUAGGAAGGAACCACCAGUGGCGAAGGCGACCACCUGGACUGAUACUGACACUGAGGUGCGAAAGCGUGGGGAGCAAACAGGAUUAGAUACCCUGGUAGUCCACGCCGUAAACGAUGUCAACUAGCCGUUGGGAGCCUUGAGCUCUUAGUGGCGCAGCUAACGCAUUAAGUUGACCGCCUGGGGAGUACGGCCGCAAGGUUAAAACUCAAAUGAAUUGACGGGGGCCCGCACAAGCGGUGGAGCAUGUGGUAUAGUUUGAAGCAACGCGAAGAACCUUACCAGGCCUUGACAUCCAAUGAACUUCCUAGAGAUGGACCUG